GAUGAACGCUGGCGGCGUGCCUAAUACAUGCAAGUCGAGCGAACAGACGAGGAGCUUGCUCCUCUGACGUUAGCGGCGGACGGGUGAGUAACACGUGGAUAACCUACCUAUAAGACUGGGAUAACUUCGGGAAACCGGAGCUAAUACCGUAUAAUAUAUUGAACCGCAUGGUUCAAUAGUGAAAGACGGUUUUGCUGUCACUUAUAGAUGGAUCCGCGCCGCAUUAGGUAGUUGGUAAGGUAACGGCUUACCAAGGCAACGAUGCGUAAACGACCUGAGAGGCUGAUAGGCCACACUGGAACUGAGACACGGACAAGACUCCUACGGGAGGCAGCAGAAGGGAAUGUUACGCAAUGGGCGAGAGCAUGGCGGAGCAAGGCCGCGUGAGUGAUGAAGGUCUUCGGAUCGUAAAACUCUGUUAUUAGGGAAGAACAAAUGUGUAAGUAAAUAUGCACGUCUUGACGGUAACUAAUCAGAAAGCCACGGCUAACUACGUG
rnacentral:rRNA from 1 species